rnacentral:rRNA from 1 species
UACGUAGGGGGCAAGCGUUGUCCGGAAUCAUUGGGCGUAAAGCGCGUGUAGGCGGUCCGGUAAGUCCGCUGUGAAAGUCGGGGGCUUAACCCUCGGAUGCCGGUGGAUACUGUCGGGCUUGAGUACGGAAGAGGCGAGUGGAAUUCCUGGUGUAGCGGUGAAAUGCGCAGAUAUCAGGAGGAACACCAAUUGCGAAGGCAGCUCGCUGGAACGUAACUGACGCUGAGACGCGAAAGCGUGGGGAGCAAACAGG